rnacentral:rRNA from 1 species
GAUGAACGCUGGCGGCGUGCCUAACACAUGCAAGUCGAACGGGGUUAAGGGAAAUUUUCGGAUGGAACUUAACUUAGUGGCGGACGGGUGAGUAACGCGUGGAUAACCUGCCUCACAUUGGGGGAUAGCAGCUGGAAACGGCUGGUAAUACCGCAUAAGACCACAGCACCGCAUGGUGCAGGGGUAAAAGAUUUAUCGGUGUGAGAUGGAUCCGCGUCUGAUUAGCCAGUUGGCGGGGUAACGGCCAACCAAAGCGACGAUCAGCAGCCGGUCUGAGGGGGGGACCGGCCACAUUGGGACUGAGACACGGCCCAAACUCCUACGGGAGGCAGCAGUGGGAAUAUUGCACAAUGGGCGCAAGCCUGAUGCAGCAACGCCGCGUGAGUGAAGAAGUAUUUCGGUAUGUAAAGCUCUAUCGGCAGGGAAGAAAGGCCCAUAACAGGGAGAUGACGGUACCUGACUAAGAAGCCCCGGCUAACUACGUGCCAGCCGCCGCGGUAAUAC